GACGAACGCUGGCGGCGUGCUUAACACAUGCAAGUCGAACGGUAAGGCUCCAGCUUGCUGGGGUACACGAGUGGCGAACGGGUGAGUAACACGUGGGUGACCUGCCCUGCACUUCGGGAUAAGCCUGGGAAACUGGGUCUAAUACCGGAUAGGACCGCACCGUGAGGUUGUGGUGGAAAGUUUUUUCGGUGGGGGAUGGGCCCGCGGCCUAUCAGCUUGUUGGUGGGGUAAUGGCCUACCAAGGCGGCGACGGGUAGCCGGCCUGAGAGGGUGGACGGCCACAUGGGUACUGAGACACGGCCCAGACUCCUACGGGAGGCAGCAGUGGGGAAUAUUGCACAAUGGGCGGAAGCCUGAUGCAGCGACGCCGCGUGGGGGAUGACGGCCUUCGGGUUGUAAACUCCUUUCACCAUCGACGAAGGGUUUCUGACGGUAGAUGGAGAAGAAGCACCGGCUAACUACGUG
rnacentral:rRNA from 1 species